CUGCGAGGAUAUUAUCGUACAACGGAGGUGCGAGGGCUGUCGCUGUCCUUGUCGUGCACGCCCAGCCCUCUCACAUCCAUCUCACCCUUUGUGCAUCACCGCGUGGGUCCCCUUUGCGGGAGGCUCGCGUUUUCACAUAAACCGAGUGUAGAAUGUUUUUUUUGCGGUCACACGCAUCAAUACAACUUUCAACAACGGAUCUCUUGGCUCUCGCAUCGAUGAAGAACGCAGCGAAAUGCGAUACGUAAUGUGAAUUGCAGAAUUCAGUGAAUCAUCGAAUCUUUGAACGCACCUUGCGCCCCUUGGCAUUCCGAGGGGCACACCCGUUUGAGUGUCGUGAAAUCCUCAACCUCUUCUUUGGAAAAGGAUUGGACUUGGAGGUUUAUGCUCGCCUGUUUGAAGGCGAGCUCCUCUCAAAGGAAUCAGUGGGGUCUGCUUUGCUGGUCCUUGACGUGAUAAGUGUUUCUACGUUUUGGAUUUAGCAUCGUCCUGCUCCCAAUUGUCUCAUGGACAACGAUGGUUCACCGGACCCACCUUGACCUCAAUCGGGUGAGACUACCCGCUGAUAAGC
rnacentral:rRNA from 1 species